rnacentral:rRNA from 1 species
GACGAACGCUGGCGGCGUGCCUAAUACAUGCAAGUGGGACGCAAGGAAACACACUGUGCUUGCACACCGUGUUUUCUUGAGUCGCGAACGGGUGAGUAACGCGUAGGUAACCUGCCUAUUAGCGGGGGAUAACUAUUGGAAACGAUAGCUAAUACCGCAUAAUAUUAAUUAUUGCAUGCUAAUUGAUUGAAAGAUGCAAGCGCAUCACUAGUAGAUGGACCUGCGUUGUAUUAGCUAGUUGGUAAGGUAAGAGCUUACCAAGGCGACGUUACAUAGCCGACCUGAGAGGGUGAUCGGCCACACUGGGACGGAGACACGGCCCAGACUCCUACGGGAGGCAGCAGUAGGGAAUCUUCGGCAAUGGACGAAAGUCUGACCGAGCAACGCCGCGUGAGUGAAGAAGGGUUUCGGAUCGUAAAGCUCUGUUGUAAGUCAAGAACGUGUGUGAGAGUGGAAAGUUCACACAGUGACGGUAGCUUACCAGAAAGGGAAGGCUAACUACGUG